AGCAUAGCUGCCGGGCCAUGUUCAGAUGCUCUUGGUUCUCGGGGGGGAGUGGAAACCUGGUGCCAAGCCCUGGAGACUCAUUGCAGUAAAGCCACUCCGUCCUCACUGAGUCCACAGGGGAAUCUGGCCAAGGCCACAGACCCUAGCUGCCUUGUGGACAGGACAAGAGUGCACACAGUGCAAGGCCCAGCCUGACCUUAGCUACAGGGAGGGCAGCCUGCUUUGCGGGGGAGAAUGAGAUGAGGGAGAUACCUUGGGUAAUCUGCGCCCGUUGGGGCAGAGGCUCUGUGGUGGCAGGCUCCGGGGAGGCCCUGGCCUACCGUCAUGCCGGUUUAGCAUCUGGUUCAGCAUCUGUUUUCUGACUUGAAGGAGGAAGGAUGUCCCGAGCAGCUGAGGAAUGACACUCAGUGCCUGGCAUUUUGGAGGUGCCCUGACACUGGGCGGGGCUCAGUGCACAAACAGCAGGGUCCCGGGUUCCUGGGGCCAGUGGGCUCUGCUGCUUAUGCCCCACGUCUCAGGGUCCAGGACGCACCACCAGCUCUAGGCUUCUUUCUCUAUGUUCAUUUCCGGAGCUGUGGCAGGUGGCUUAGAGCGGUCUAGGCCAUGAGAGGACAUGGAAUCUUGCUUCUGCUUGGCAGGAAAGUUCAAUAGGAGCGUCUUGGCUGUGUGGCCUCUGAUGAGAUGAUUUUAUUGCGAGCUUUCUCUUCACCCUCGCCAGUGCUGCCUGAGGUCACACUCCCUGAUGGGAAAGUAGAGGAGACGAAAGUAGAGGGUUCUGCAGGCCAGAGUAGGUGAGACCUCGCAUCUUCCUGGGGCUGUGUCUUGCCCAGUUGUCAGGCAGCAAACAGCGCUGAGUUGCUACCA
rnacentral:antisense_RNA from 1 species